rnacentral:lncRNA from 1 species
AAGAAAAUGGGGAGGGGGCGCGGGCGGGGGGAGAGGCAGAUGUACCACCUCAGCAGUGCUGUUUAAUUUCUAGGCCAUCCUUUGCCUUCCGGGCGCUCCCGGCGGGCGCGGAACAGCGCUGCCCGCCGGAGGGUCCUGCCCGGCCUGCGGGGGUCCCGGGGGAAUGAGAAAUGACAGGGGGAAAAAAAAUUAAUUAAAAAAAAUUAAAGCCCAGGGCUAGGAAAAAAAGGGCAAAUAAAAGGCGAGCGGAACAGCGGCAGAAGUUGCGAAGUCCUGCCGGGAGGGCGAGAGAGAGACCUGCGGGAGAAAGUUGAACGAAGCCCGAGUUGGAAUCCCGAAGGCAGCGGGAUCUUCCCAAGAUUAUGGAUUUCUAGGCUGUAGCUCCAUCCAAAAGCCCUUUCCUUCCUCAAAACCUACCUCACCUUCACGCCGGAGGGCUCCACAGCAUGCUAGGGGCAGACUCUGGCCCUGCCCCUGGACUGCCCAAAAUCGGUCUUCACACGAGUGUAAUCAGGUGCAGGCUAAAAGUCUGCAAAACCCCGGGUGCCCCGAAGAGCAUGGAGUAAUGUAUUUAGCACUUAAUACAAACCACAGAAAAAUACAAUCACCAGCUGUGAAGUGACAGAGCAUUAAGAGUCAGGAAACGAACAGAUUAGAAAACAGAAUUUCCCAGCCCUCUCCCCGCCUCGCACAUCUACAAAUCACUAAUUUGAGACAGAUUUACAGCCUUUACAUAUUUAUUGGUGUAUCUAUCUGGAUAUCAUGCUUAUCAUCCGGGAUCUGAGUAUCUGAAAUGGUAGCAUUAGUGAAGCAUACUUGGGAUUUUUAUUAGAAAUGGGUCAUAAAAACUGAGCCUGUUUUAAAAUAAUAGUUUUCCAGCCUGACUAUUAUGGAAUAUGGAUUUAUUAGUCAUUUUUAUGUUUGAAGCUUGGUUUGAAAACAACCUAGAUAUUGUUAGCAAAGUUUGGCUCAGAGCAAUGGAAAGCCUCUGGUUUUUUUUAAAGGUUAAGGGGCCAGAUUAAUAACAGCUGGAAAGGUUUAGAGUUUAUUCUGGUGAAACAGCAAUCAGCAGGUUGCCAUACACACCUAGAAAAACAUAGCUGGGUUCCAUCUACCCUAAACAUCAACCUCCCAGAGACAGAGCCAGUGCCCAGAUAGUAAUAAUUACAUGACUCUUUUUCAGGUUUUUUUUAAUAAAAAUAUUUCAGGUGUUUCUAAGUCUAGAUGC